rnacentral:rRNA from 1 species
CCUACGGGAGGCAGCAGUGGGGAAUAUUGGACAAUGGGGGCAACCCUGAUCCAGCCAUGCCGCGUGUGUCAAGAAGGCCCUCGGGUUGUAAAGCACUUUCAGUGAGGAAGAACGCCUGGUGGUUAAUACCCAUCAGGAAAGACAUCACUCACAGAAGAAGCACCGGCUAACUCCGUGCCAGCAGCCGCGGUAAUACGGAGGGUGCGAGCGUUAAUCGGAAUUACUGGGCGUAAAGCGCGCGUAGGUGGCUUGAUAAGCCGGUUGUGAAAGCCCCGGGCUCAACCUGAGAACGGCAUCCGGAACUGUCAAGCUAGAGUGCAGGAGAGGAAGGUAGAAUUCCCGGUGUAGCGGUGAAAUGCGUAGAGAUCGGGAGGAAUACCAGUGGCGAAGGCGGCCUUCUGGACUGACACUGACACUGAGGUGCGAAAGCGUGGGUAGCAAACAGGAUUAGAUACCCUGGUAGUC